UACGUAGGGCGCGAGCGUUGUCCGGAAUUAUUGGGCGUAAAGAGCUCGUAGGCGGUCUGUCGCGUCGGAUGUGAAAGCCCGGGGCUUAACCCCGGGUCUGCAUUCGAUACGGGCAGACUAGAGUGUGGUAGGGGAGACUGGAAUUCCUGGUGUAGCGGUGGAAUGCGCAGAUAUCAGGAGGAACACCGGUGGCGAAGGCGGGUCUCUGGGCCGUAACUGACGCUGAGGAGCGAAAGCAUGGGGAGCGAACAGG
rnacentral:rRNA from 1 species